AAACACUGGGUGUCCUGGUAGUAAGCAA
rnacentral:sRNA from 1 species